UAUUCGAAAGAAAUAAUCAACAAAGAAAAAUUGGUUUAAAGUAAACAAAAGUGUGGUUAAUAUCAGCAAAUCAUUGUAGAAAAUAUCAACAAUGGCAUUGUUUGUAUUAAACAAAAAUCACUUUGAUUUCUUUUCAAGUUUGAAUUUGGUAAUAUUAACAAAUUUUUAGUUAAU